rnacentral:tRNA from 1 species
GACCGUGUAGCUCAGUUGGUAGAGCGUCGAUCUAGUAAUUCGAAGGUCGCUGGUUCAAGACCCAGCCGCGGCA